GUCUUCGUGGUGUAGUGGUCAGCACGCUCGACGCGUAUUCGAGAGGUCCGUGGUUCAAGUCCCGGCGAGGACG
rnacentral:tRNA from 1 species